rnacentral:rRNA from 1 species
UACGUAGGGAGCAAGCGUUGUCCGGAAUCAUUGGGCGUAAAGCGCGCGUAGGUGGCUUCGUAAGUCCGUUGUGAAAGUCAAAGGCUCAACCUUUGAAAGCCGAUGGAUACUGCGGAGCUAGAGUACGGAAGAGGCGAGUGGAAUUCCUGGUGUAGCGGUGAAAUGCGCAGAGUAUCAAGGAGGAACACCGGUGGCGAAGGCGGGUCUCUGGGCCGAUGAUUGACGCUGAGGAGCGAAAGCGUGGGGAGCGAACAGG